CAAGUACCUCUCUUUGCUCCUCUCGAUAUAAACGCCUUCGCCCUCGCGUUCCAUAUAUACAUCUGUGCACGAUAACACGUGUGACUUCAUCUGCGACAUAUGGACCAUUUAUAGACGCUUGGCCCCUGGUAUCUUCUCGGCCUGGUUCUACCAUAAAUAUUGAUACUUUUCGCCAUCAUCAGGAUCGCCGGUCAGAAGCUCGCCGAGGAUUCCGAUUCGAAACGUAAUCCUGUCGCGCGUUUCUCAUCAGUAUUUCGCCGAUACUGUUGAAUCCUUCGUUCGAAGAAUUGCAAUGUGAUGGUCAUGGAGCUGCGUCAUAUCACGCCGAUGGACAUCGUAUGAUAUAUUACCUGGUACAAUGCAAUUGCGGGCGUUGCAUUCAACAGUAUUAUGAGAAAAGAAAAAACAAAGAAUUGAAGGAAAAAAAUAAUCAUCACGUGGCAAGUUUCAUGGAGAGUUCACAAGUCACGAUGUAAUUACAUACAUAAACACUCGGGUUUUUUGGUUAAUUAGUGUUGUAAUGACCUUUUUUCUCGAAAUUAAUCAACCUCGGAUGACAUCCUCCAAGAUACAUAUACGGCUAAUCCUUUGAGAAGGUGAUACGAAAUUAUCAAAGAAUGACAAAAAAAAUUGUUCCGACCGAUUAUUGGAGACCUCGACGAGUGGCAUAAUCAAUGUCACGAAUUAUCAACGAUAUCAUCUUGAAAAUAUAAAAACAAAACGAGGGUGUGAAGGCAGUCACGUAGCCUAAAUCUUAUGACGUAAAGAAUCUACGCUUCAAAUGAAUCUUUGCAGAGGGUUUUGGACGCAACACAGGCCAUCGCAUGUUAUCUGUUACUAUAUUAAGUUCGGCGACGGUUAAAUAAUGAAAAUUCUGUUACAUGUACCCUGGAAACAACCAUCAUGGUCCAGAGAAGUAUAACUCGGUUAAAACGAGAUGGUUUUUACAUCGAUCAAGUAAACGGAUAAUAAUUACAAUGCAAUAAUUAGCGAGACAUGGUUAACGACCAUAUUUGUCAUCCUGUAAUCUGUCACCUUGAAAUAAACGACCGUAAAAACAUCA